AUGAGACCCGUAUUUUGUUUUGUUUUGUUUUUUGUUGUUUUUGUUUUGUUUUGGAACAAGGCCUGGUGGCUCAAGCCUGGAAUCCCAGUGUGUGGGAGAUGAAGGCAGGAAGAUCACAAGUCAAAGUCGCCUUUGGUUGAAGAGUUCAGACGCAGCCUGACAAAUGGGUCGCUGUCAGAAAGAAAAAGUUCCGGAGAAAGAAAAGAGAGUGUGCUCUGGAGUUGGGGCGCUGCCUGUCAUACCUGCACCCAUGAAGGCUGGCCUGGGAUGGGUUACAAAGCCAGACUCUGAGUAAAACGUAAAACUAAAAUCAAGCCACGCAAAACACUACUUGGGUAUAAAAAGAGUUAAAAUGUCAAGUCCGAAGUGUACUCCCCCACCCCCCACCCCGACUCAACCCCCACGCCUCCCAAGGCUGUUUGGAGUGGUUUCCUCUCGCUUGUUUUGUGUGGCUUAGUGUUUUGUUUGAUUUUCAGGGCUAGGAAGCUACUCUGCCCACCAAGACCAAGAGCUACGUUUUGGAAGGACACUGGGGUGGCUCAGAGGUCAAGAGGAAGAGCUACUACAGCAGACAGGCAGGAUCCUGGGCAGCCCGGACCUUCUUUCUAAAACACCGUGGUUUGGAUACUGCUGCUGCUGCUGCGCUGGCCACUAGGCUGAGUCUUUGCGUUCAGGUUUCAAAUUCCCAAGAGAAUCUGACUUGUCCGCCUGGGUCAGGUGUCUACCACCCGGUCUCUUUUCUUCCCCUCCUCCUCUCUACCUCCUCUGUCCUCUUCUCUCCUUUCCUCUCCUCUCUUCCUCUCCUCCCUCUCCUCUUCUCUCUUCCUUUCUCCGCCCCACCCCCCUUACCGUUCUAAUGCAUUCCAGGCUGACUUCCCUUUCUUACUUACUCCUUUAGUAGCCCAGGAUGACCUUGAACUUGUGAUCCUCCUGCCGCUAACUCCCUGGAGCUGAAAUCACUGGGCAUGUCCCACCAAGCCCAGUUUCUGUGUAACUAGGCAAGCCAGACAUACCGGGCAAGCGCUGUACAGACUGGGCUCCACCCUGAGCCCAGAGCUCUGCCCUCCUGAGACUUUGAAGGGAAGUACUUUGUGGGCACAGCAAUCCC
rnacentral:lncRNA from 1 species